UUAACAACACUACUAUACAAUUCUUGCUCAACCGCAUAAUGAUAUCAUCUUCAUCAACAACAUGGUUACUGACGCAAUCGAUUGAGCGCGUGAAAAUGCAAGAUGGAGUGGAAAACAUGCUUACAAUUUCUCUUUUCAUUUCAUCAUAACAUCACCACCAUACUCAUUCUACAACCCAACAUCAUCUUCAUCAACAUAAUAACAAUACUACUUCACCAUUCUUCUUCAACCACACAACAUCAUCUUCAUUAACAACAUCAUCUUCAUCAACAAUGUUAUCAAUACCAUCUUCAAAAACACAACAAUCAUUACUCCCAAAUUCAACAAGAUGACAUUAUCACUAUUCAUUUUCAACAAGCUUCUCAAUGACCUCGUAAUGCUACCACGAUCUCAUCUCAAAUAAUUGCCGAUGAGUUAAAGAGUAUGUUGGUACUAAAUAUUAUUAGACAAGUUACUAUUACUAUAAUCAUGCCGAUGAGUUAGAGCUGUAAUGCCAUUCAAGCUCAAGUCCAGAUGAGUUAGUAUUACUAUAAUCAUGUUCGGUUUAAAUCCACCAGUAUCUCAUACCAAAGUUGCUUCAAAUUUGAUCAUGUUGACAGAUGAUUAUGCUGCAAAGGUACACGGUAGAAUAUGGAGGAUUCGUUAAAAGGCUUAUGGAGUAAAAGCUUUGGUGUCUCGAUGGCAUGAAGACUUGUACUUGACUUAUGUUCUGAUGUGCAUUUCUUUGUAGCUCUAUGUAGACGUUCUUGUUGUAUACAUAUCUUAGCUGCAGUUUUAUAAAAUAUAUAUUUUGGAAUAUUAUUUAUUUGUUUUUGUUUGUACUGACUACUAAAAUAUCAAUAUUUUACCGAUAUGAUUCUAGACACAUUGGUGGGGUAUAAAUUCAAAAAUUAUUCUAUUUGCUAUGUAAUAAGGUAAUUUGGAUGAUACUUUAGUCCUUGUGAAAUGAUGUAAUUAUUCUUUUAUGGUAAAAAAUUAUUUUAUCUUUUAUCCAUUCAAUUUCAAUAA